UUAAAAAGUUAGGUGACAGCAGCAAAAACUCAGACAGUCAAUCUGUCAGCUCUAACACUGAUGCAGAUACCACUCAGGAAAAAAACAAUGCAAGGUCGUCCUGUGUUUGAGAGAAACAUUUUCAAGGUAUUAGUUUGACUGUCGUGAUGGCGGUAGGUCCUACAGGAAGACGAAGGACUGGGUAGAGGCGUAGAGGCACGUACGUGUCCCUGCGCCGAGCCAGUCCGUUAGCACGCGUGAUGCCAGCCUGGGCAGUUCAUAGCUCUGGCCUCAAGGCUUCCACCUUUUUACCGCUUGCUUGCCCUUUUCAAACUGAACUGAGCCCGUUCACCAAACCACCAGUUACCAGACUCAGAGUUGUGAUAGAGGAGCAUUUCGAAGGUCGCUCAUACUGUGACGUGGUGCAUUAGCCACCACUGAAAGCAGCAAGAGAGGUGAAAAGAAGAAGCCAGCAUUAAGAUACCAGUUGUGCGUGGGGGCAAGACCGUAUGGAAACUGGAAACAGAGAGAAUGGAGCAUAAAGAGGAAAGAAAGCGAAGCAAGCCUAGCCGGGCAAAAGGAAACGCGUCAUGUUUGUGGAGCUUUGAAGUCCUGGGACCAUGCUCAUGGCUGCCGGUUUCUUCUGGGUAACACCAGUUUCCUCUCAUUGCCACUAAAGCUGUAGGCUCUUUAGUCUGACUUGUUUCUGACAGGAAUAAAGUUUCAAAGUUUUGACUCGGUGAUCCCUAGGGACGCCCGUUUCAGCACGCCAGGUGGCCGUAGGUACUUGGCUGAGCCUUCUGAAGUUGGGUUGUUUGAGGCUCCUCUCCCUACCUUCAGACGUUUGCAGCCCAGCACGGUGCACCCCUCCCCUGCAGAAAACCCUGGAGAGAAGGGAAGGCCUCUCCCAUGAUGGUGACUGUCACUGCCGUGAAUUCCUGCAUCCACCUGCUGCUGGACGGUCAGAGGCCAGGUGCAGCCCCGUAGUAGAAGAGCAGUGCUGUGUUCCUUGUCCAGUCUCUCAUGUCCCAAGUGAGCAGAAAGAGCGCAGUUAGCCCGUCAUUCACUGUUGACUGUUGGUUCUAAUAAUAAAUGGAACAUAAUCAA